GACACCGUUGCCCCUCCUAUAUUGGCACAGGAAGGAGGGUUGUCAUAUGGGAGAUUUUUUCAUCACUUUUAUUAUCUCUGUUACGGCAGGUGUGGCUUGCCACCUCAUCUGCAAAUGGCUGGACAGAGAUAAGAGGUAAAAGCAACCAGCCUAGGGCAUAAGCCACCCUGCCAAAACGGAAUAGAAAACCCUGGAGACCGCCAUCUCCAGGGUUUUCAUUUUGCCAU
rnacentral:sRNA from 1 species